CUUCAGGGAAACAGAGAGGCUGAUGAACAGUUAAUGACACAUGCACCACGCCCCUGACCUCCCACACACCCCGCCUUGUCAUCCCACAAUCAGGGAGCUUGGGAUCAAGCGAAGCUACAAAAGAAAGCAACAUGCGAGGAUGAGAAGAGAAGCUCACAGAAUGAGGGAUGCUUUCCUGUUCCCCGUGAGACAGGAGGACUGGCCAGGGGAUGAGCUGCUGUGUGCUGCAUCUGCCUGGAAUUUUAAGAGAAAACCAAGACAGAAGGACGUGUGAGGACCUGCCCUCUACACAAUGUUUCCGGUGAAGAAAACAGUGUCAAAAGGGACACGGGGAAGGAAACCUUUCACGGAAACAUUUAGAGAUGCCAUCAGCUGCCCGGAGCACCCAUGCAAACCCCGACUCUGUUAUCUCCUUCUUGCCCUCUUUCUGUGUCCCACUUGCACAGGCUUUUUAUUUUUAGUAAGCGUCUAUUUUUGUGUGCAUGUGCUCUUGGAGCUUAGUCUUCCUUUGACUACAUACCUCCUCCGUACACGAAAGGACAAUACCUUUUCGAUGCGCACUCCGAGGCACAUUUUGAGGACUUAGCUGAUGAAAAAAAUGAAGAUGUCCUCUAGCAUAAAUGAUCAACUAUCAAUAAACCACUGAUCACAUUUGCUACCGAAGUUCACAACACACUUGCAUAACUUUUGCCCCAAACUGACUACUAGCCAACUGCUGUUCCUCCAUCCACAGCCAGGUCUGCCAGGCAGUUGGUACUCAACGGGGCCAAACAGUUGGCCUUCUGGCUAAUUCUCCCAGCAGCAAAAUGACUACUUAGAGGGGAGAAAAAAGGAUCUUCUGUCUUCUCUUAAUUAUAGAUAAGGUUUAUUGCAAAAGGAAUAACCAGGCAUCCCAGAGAACAAUGGGAUCUAUGAGCAAGACCUUUGUUGUUGAUUCCCACGACACCUGGGAACUAGACUUGGGCUUAUUUACAUUAUACAGACCGAGAAGCUGAGAACCCCUCCGCACACUUCAGGACAAUACCUUCUUCAGUCCACACU